rnacentral:rRNA from 1 species
AUUGAACGCUGGCGGCAUGCCUUACACAUGCGAGUCGAACGGCAGCACGGGUGCUUGCCCCUGGUGGCGAGUGGCGAACGGGUGAGUAAUACAUCGGAACAUGUCCUGUAGUGGGGGAUAGCCCGGCGAAAGCCGGAUUAAUACCGCAUACGAUCUACGGAUGAAAGCGGGGGACCUUCGGGCCUCGCGCUAUAGGGUUGGCCGAUGGCUGAUUAGCUAGUUGGUGGGGUAAAGGCCUACCAAGGCGACGAUCAGUAGCUGGUCUGAGAGGACGACCAGCCACACUGGGACUGAGACACGGCCCAGACUCCUACGGGAGGCAGCAGUGGGGAAUUUUGGACAAUGGGCGAAAGCCUGAUCCAGCAAUGCCGCGUGUGUGAAGAAGGCCUUCGGGUUGUAAAGCACUUUUGUCCGGAAAGAAAUCCUUGGCUCUAAUACGGUCGGGGGAUGACGGUACCGGAAGAAUAAGCACCGGCUAACUACGUG